GAGCCUAACUGCGCAUGCGUGUAAUGUGGUGGCAAUAGCUGUACUAACUGGGGAAGUUGUGAAAUUAUUAUCAUAGUUUUAACAAGCGAAAUGGGUUGUUGACUGUGGGACUCGUAUAAACUCUACACAGAGAGUAUCCUACAGGAAGAGAAGGAAACCAUGACGGCUAACGAGGAUCAGGAGAUGGAGCUGGAGGCUCUUCGCUCCAUCUAUGAGGGGGAUGAGUGUUUCAAGGAAAUCUCUCCAGUUUCCUUUCAGUUUAGGAUAGGAGACCGUGAGGACACCAAAGCCUUCAUCCUGGACCUCACAUGGCCUGAGAUGUACCCUGAGACGGCCCCGCAGAUCUCCCUAGAUGCCUUUUUCAACAACAGAAUCUCUGCAGGGACCAAGCAGCUGAUCCUGUCAAAGCUGGAGGAGCAGGUGGAGGCCAACCUGGGCACCGCCAUGAUGUAUACUCUGUUCGAGUGGGCCAAGGAGAACCAGGGGGCCCUCAUGGAGAACCACAAGCCUGUAGUCACCGCUGUGACGUCCAGCAGCGACGCCGCCUCAACAGGCAAGAAGAAGGAGAAGAAGGAGCAGCUGACUAAAUCUCAGAAGAAGAGGAUCAUCAACAGAACAGAUAACAAAGGGGAAUUGCCAAGAGGUUGGAACUGGGCUGACGUUAUCAAAGUAGGUGACGUUUACCUUCUCUCCAUGAGGUGGUGCACUUAUUCAGUUUGAAGCCUGCAGUGACUUUCAUCACGAACCUUUUGAUUCAAUUGUCUUUCUCUCCUCCGUCCCCUCUGCCUGACAAUCCUCCAGCAUUUGAGUAGAACGGGAGGAAAAGAUGACGAAUAGGCCCGAGAGCAGCCGUCCGGUGCUGCUUUGUUACAAGGAGGCGCAGUGAAGACUGAACUCAGUGCAGCCUGUUGAUGCUGCUGCUCCUGGCAAGACGCCUUCACGUCCUUCAUCUUCAACAUAUAACACUCAACAUGGCUGCUGUCCCCCUGAGAACCAAAGCAGGCUGGGUAACGGUGGACUUCAGGUCUCUCUCUCGCA